ACUGCUGUAGUGGAGUGCGGGGGGGGGGGGGCGUGGAGGGGCGCGUGCCCGGCUGGCCUUUCCCGCCACGUGCCCUUCUCAGUCCAACAGCAAGCACUGCGAAAUCCGCCGCCGUGAGAGCCAACCCGAGCUUUCUCCAUCUCGGGGCCACAGCUGGGCCUCUGCUAGCGUCGGAACCCCGCCGAGAGUGAGACCAGCUGCCGUCAACUCGGGUGCCUGGAGACACGGCUGGCACACGUCUGUGUGCCCAGCCAGCCCCAGGCUGUCUGCCUCAGCCGCCCACUUUGGCCUCCACAGUCCCCGAUCCAUGCAGGUCAGGAACCGGGCAGUGCGGUUGCAGUGAACUUGGACUCGAGCCGCCUUACCCUUAUCACGCAGUACCGUCGCAGGCGCAGCCAUCUGAAUCCUUGUCCCCCUUCCUUCAUAAAUGUUAUCUUCAGUCCACCCCAUCAAAGCAGCCUGGACCGUAAACAGCAAGUCCUGUUGGUCUUCCAAAAAGACAUGUGUUAUGUUGCAUGUAUGUGUGUGUCGUGUGUGUGUGUGUGUGUGUGUUUUGCUGGGAUUUGAACCAGCGCCAUACCCCUGCUAGGCAGCUCUUUAUUAUUGCAAAAUAAUAUAGCAUCUUUAAUCCUGUGACUUUUGGUUUUCUCCACUGCUGAACUCCUCCAAGCCACUUUUUGUUUGUAGUUGCUGACAGCAGUAGACAUAUAUUCCCUUCCAGUCUGGAGACCAGUAGCAAAGUCUGGACUCAGUGCCCUACACGGACUAUAGGGGAGACUUCUAUGCUUGCCUCCUCCAGCUUCUGGCAUUCCCUAACUUGUGGACAUUUCACUAUAGUCUCUCACUGUGUGGCCACAUUGCCACCUCUUCUAUCUCAAAUUGUUACUCUGCUUCUAACUAGAAGGAUUUUUGGAAGAACAUUUAAAGUCUCCUGGAUAAUCGCAGAUAUUUCCCCAUUUCAGUAUCCUAAAACAGUCACAUCUGACAGAAGUCCCAUCUGUGUUCCCAUAGUUUGUGUGCCAGUAACUCAACGUUCUUGUCUGGUAUAAGACAGUAAGGAAGAUCACUUAGCCUAAUUCCAGAUACUUCACUGAUUAAUGAAGGUGUAACCUUUACAUCAGAAGAGCAGAAUGCCAUAGGGAACACACAAGAAAACCAGAAAAACCCCACUUUCUCAUUUCUCCUCAUAGUCUCUUCAUAGAUACUGUAAAAUUCUAGUUUCCCUGUUCCUUGAAUGAAAUCACAGAUGCCAUGAUUCUGGUUUACUCUUUGCCUUUUAGUGACCUCAGGGCAUUAUGAGACCCUGAACUAUGUUUUAGUAUCUACUUACAAAGGCUAACUUGAAGUUGUGUUUAUUUUUUUUUUAUCACUGUUCUAAUUUUUGUAUUUUGUCCCUUUUACUGUAAUUUCUGUCUUGCUCCAUCUUUUCUCUCCUGUGGCCCUUUCAUUGGUACUUGCCCCCCCUUCUCUCCUCUUGACUUCUCCCCCCCCCACUCCCCCACCCUUUUUUUUUUUUUUUUUUUUUUUUUGCCUCCUUGUUGCAUCUCCUUCUUCUGAACUUGUAAAGUUUUAUAUUUGGGCCAAAAAUGGAUCCAGUUGUUCAUUGUCUGUCAUCUGCUGUCACCAUGUCUAUAUAGAAGAAUUUGUGAGUUAUGAACAUUUUGAAGACCUUCCUCCUAAUCAGUUCUGGUGGUGGCUAGUGUACCUGUGUGUGUGUGUUUAUUCCUCUUCUAGUGUGCACUCACGCACUUGUAAACUUGCAGUCCUCCUACCUGCAGAGUGCUGGGAUUUCAGGUGUGCAUCUGAUUGUAUUCCCAAGAUCUCCUUUGUUUCUCCCCACCAGGACUGGAUAGUUUUUUGCUUUCCCCAGCCUGCUCAUUUAGUUAGUGAUAACUGAAGCUCUUUUGCAGUGAGAAUGGGGAAGCUGGUUGGAAGUUGAGGAUUUUCCUGUCCUCAUCGUCAGUCUGCAGUCUACUCAGGGAGCACCUGAAACAGCUUGUGCUGUACAUCGAAUGUGAAGCCAGAAGCAGAGUCUUCUUAAUCCAGUGUGGGGCUUCAUGCCUCAUCAGCACAACUGCCCUUGGGCUACAUUUAGGCUUCCCAGGAACUCGUGGUGAGAGUAAUCACCACACUGUACUCCAGACUCUAAUGAAAAGUGUGCUGCAUGACAGGCUUCUCUAAGAACCCUGGGAACUUAUGUGUAAAUAGGUCCCCAUCAGUUUCCCUCCCACUGUCUUUUUCUACUUAGAAGUCCUGGGAAAGAAGGGAGAAAGGAAGUCUACUAAUCUCCAGCAGUAGAAUGAGGGGUGAAGUCAGGCAUGCUGUUGCAUGCACUUGUAAUUCCCAUACUCUUGGAGGCUGUAGUAGAAGGACUGCAAGUCUGAGCCCAGGCUGGACAAUUAGGUGAGACCUUGUCUCGGGAAAAAAAAAAAAGGCUGGGACUGUAGCUUGGUGCAUAGGCCUGGAUCAACCUCCAGUACGGAAAGACAGGGAAAAAAAACAAGUCUCAAGUUUAUACAGGAUUGCAGAAACUGCCAGAGACAAUCUUGAAGAAAGAGCAGAUUUGGAGGACUCACAAGACUUACUGCAAAACUACAACCAAAGUAAUCAAAACUAUGUCCCUGGCAUAAAGAUAACAUGGAGAACAAUGGAACAGAGGGAAAAAAAAACCCUAGAAAUGGUCUGGUUUGAACCAUGGGAGAAAGUACUCUCUUCAACAAAUACUGCUGGAAUGACUGCAUGUUGAUAGGUGGGGUCUUGCAAAGUGAUGGAAUCCUGGUGAGCACACCGCGCAGCCGCGUGGUGAGGAGGUGGAGUCUGGUAGGAAGAGGUGGUCACUGGGGCGUGGCCUGGAAGGAUUCAUCUUCCUUUCCUCCCUCUCUCCUCUUUGAUUGUGCUUUCUGGCCUCCAUGAUGUGAGCUGCUAUCUUUCAUCAGGCUCUUCCUGCCGUGGAGCCAGCCAACUACGUACUGAAAAGGUAAGCCAAGAUACAGCUGUCCUUUAAGUUGUAGAUGUCUAGUAUAGUGGUUCAGAGGCCAGGAAAGUGACUUAAGGCAUUCGCAGGGAUGGAAGGCAGAUUGGUGCUUGCCACAGGGAAGGAGAAAGGGGAGGAGGACUGGGGACUAUUUAAUAGAUACAGGAUCUCCAUUUAAGAUGACAAAAGCAGGGUCUGGGGAUGUAGUUCAGCAGCAUAGUAUGAGUUUGUGAGUUUGAUCCUUGGUACCCAAAAAAAUAGUGUGAAAUAAAUACAGAUGGUGUUUGUACAAGAUUGUAAAUGUGCUAAAUGCCACUGAAUUGUUUAGAGCACUAAUUUUGUGUUAUGUUUAACCUCAAUAAAAAAUACAAAAACA